rnacentral:lncRNA from 1 species
GGAUGGUCCAACUGGGAUGGACCCAACUGGGAUGGUCCCAACUGGGAUGGUCCCAUCAAACUGGGAUGGACCCAACUGGGAUGGACCCACCGUGGUGGACACCCAUGGACCCAACUGGGAUGGUCCCAUCAAACUGGGAUGGUCCAACUGGGAUGGUCCCAUCAAACUGGGAUGGACCCAACUGGGAUGGUCCAACUGGGAUGGUCCAACUGGGAUGGACCCAUCAAACUGGGAUGGACCCAACUGGGAUGGACCCAACUGGGCUGGGGGUGGUCCCAUGGUGGUGGCCCCACCCGGUGUCACCCAUGGGUGCCCUGGGGCGUGGUCCUUACCCGCCGUCCCCCUUGUCCUCGCCGUUGUCCUCCAGCCGCGCCCGUUUGCCCCCAGGGCCCAGGGGGUCCCCGGGACGUUUGGGUGCCCCGGGGGGUCCCCAGGGUGACACCCAGUGGGUGCCGUUGAGGUGGGGGAGGUGGCCGUUGGUGGUGGCAUCUCCGCGGGGGACGAGGUGACUGUGGGUGGCGUUUCCGUGGGUGCUGUGGCCACCCAAGAGGUGUCUGUGGGUGGCACCACCAAGGCCACCGAGAAGGUGCCCAUGGGUGCCACCUCCAUGGGUGCCACCUCCAGGGCCACUGUGGCCAUCAAGAAGGUGUCCAUGGGUGCCAUCUCCAUGGGUGCCAUCUCCAGGGCCACCAAGGACGUGUCCAUGGGUGCCAUCUCCACGGGUGCCAUCUCCAAGGCCACCAAGAAGGUGUCUGUGGGUGCCAUCUCCAUGGGUGACGUCUCCAAGGCCACCAAGGACGUGUCUGUGGGUGCCAUCUCCACGGGUGCCAUCUCCAAGGCCACCAAGAAGAUGUCCAUGGGUGCCAUCUCCAUGGGUGACGUCUCCAGGGCCACCAAGGACGUGUCUGUGGGUGCCAUCUCCAUGGGUGCCACCUCCAUGGGUGCCAUCUCCACAGGUGCCAUCUCCAGGGCCACCAUGGCCACCAAAGAGGUCCCCGUGGUUGCCAUCUCCUCGGUGACGCCCACAGAGGCCACCCACCACGUCCCUAUGGGUGCCACCACCACCUCCUCCCACCUCCUGGGGGGUGCCCCACGAGGUGCCACCUCCUCUGUUGACGUCCCCCCCCGUUGUCCCCUUGGUGCCACCACCCCCCGCCGUGUUCUUCAGGACAAAGUCCACGAUGUCAGAGGGAAGGUCCUCGCCGGGGGGUGGUGGCCCCAUGGGUGGGGGUGGUGGCCCCAAAGGUGGUGCUGGUGGCCCCAAAGAUGGUGGUGGAACCAAAGAUGGUGGUGGUGGCCCCAAAGAUGGUGGUGGCCCCAAAGGUGGUGCUGGUGGCCCCAAAGGUGGUGGUGGUGGCCCCAAAGAUGGUGGUGGUGGCCCCAAGGGUGGUGGUGGUGGCCCCAAAGAUGGUGGUGGUGGCCCCAAGGGUGGGGGUGGUGGCCCCAAAGAUGGUGCUGGUGGCCCUAAAGAUGGUGGUGGCCCCAAAGGUGGUGGUGGUGGCCCCAAAGAUGGUGGUGGUGGCCCCAAGGGUGGGGGUGGUGGCCCCUUGUCCCCCCCGUCGUCCACCCCGUCCAACUGGUGGAUGUGGGGCGGCAGGGGGAGGGGACAAGGUUGUCCCCGUGUCACCACCGUGCGGGGGUAGCGGUAGUAGGGGCCGCCUCGAGGAGCAGGGUGGUGGCCACCAUCACCACCAUCAUCUUCUUCAUCUUCCUCCUCCUCCUCCUCGCUGCUGUCCCCCCCCCUCCUCGUCCCCCCCGACGUCCCCAAGAGCCCGGCGGCCAAGGCCAACUCGGUGACGUCCAGCUCCUCCAAGGCCAGGUCGGGGCCACCCGGUGGGGACAAGGACACCUCCUCCUCCUCCUCCUCCUCCUCUUCCUCCUCCACCAGGGGUGAAGGUGGCCCCACGGGUGACAAGGAGGCGGGGGGUGAAGGUGGCAUCUUGGGUGGCUUCGGUUCCACCAUGGAUGGUGGCCUUCCAGGUGACGAGGAUCUUCUGGGGGGUGGUGGCCCUCCGGGUGACGAUGGCCUUCGACGUGAUGGUGGCCCUCCAAGUGACAAUGGCUCUCCGGGUGACAACGGGUCUCCGGGUGACAAGGGGUCUCCAGAGCGUGGUGGCCUUCCAGGUGACAAUGGCUCUUCGGGUGACAAUGGUUCUCCGGGUGACAACAGUCCUCCAGAAGGUGGUGGCCCUCCAAGUGACAAGGGGCCUCCAGAAGGUGGUGGUCCUCCAGGUGACAAUGGCUCUCUGGGUGACAACGGACCUCCAGAAGGUGGUGGCCCUCGGGGUGACAACGGUUCUCCAGGUGACAAGAGUCCUCUAGAGGGUGGUGGCCCUCCAGGUGACAACGUCCUUCCACGGGAUGGUGGCCCUCCGAGUGACACCGGUGGCCCUCCGGGUGACAACAAUGUCCUUGGGUGGGGUGGUGGCCCUUGGAGUGACACCGGCGGCUCUCCGGGUGACAAGAGU